GUCCACGCCCUAAACUAUGUCAACUGGUUGUUGGGGUUUGACACUCUCAGUAACGAAGCUAACGCGUGAAGUUGACCGCCUGGGGAGUACGGCCGCAAGGUUAAAACUCAAAGGAAUUGACGGGGACCCGCACAAGCGGUGGAUUAUGUGGAUUAAUUCGAUGCAACGCGAAAACCUUACCUACCCUUGACAUGUCCUGGAGGCCCCUGAGAGGGGGCUGUGCCCGAAAGGGAACGGGAACACAGGUGCUGCAUGGCUGUCGU
rnacentral:rRNA from 1 species